UGCUGCUGAAGAGAAGACCGACGACCAGGACUACCAGGAGGCCCAGGAGUUCUACGAGGAGCACUCAGUUUGGCAAGAUGCAGGAUCCGAUCAGGAGUUCGACACCAACAACGAUGGAUGGUACGAUUGAAGCUUAGAAGCCCGUGCUACGCUCAAGUGCUGUCUGUGGAGGUGAAGUUCGAGAUGAAGGAAGGCCUGAAGACCAGCUAUCGCUACCAUUUUCUGUUUGUUCCAUUUGAGCCCAAUGGGCUUGUAAUAAAUUAUUCGUACUGCAAAUCCUCUGGAUUUUGUAAUAAUUAAAUCCAUGUUUGAACCU